rnacentral:rRNA from 1 species
UACAACAGCCACCGUUUAUUAGAAUAUCGUUAUCCUACUUGGAUAACUGUGGCAAUUCUAGAGCUAAUACAUGCAAAAAAGCUCUGCCCGCAAGGAACGAGCGCAUUUAUUAGAAUAAAAACCAAUCAGGCUUCGGCCUGUAAUUUGGUGAAUCUGAAUAACUUUGCCAAUCGCACGGUCCUAGUACCGGCGAUGUAUCUUUCAAGUGUCUGGCUUAUCAACUUUCGAUGGUAGGUUAUACGCCUACCAUGGUAUUAACGGGUAACGGAGAAUAAGGGUUCGACUCCGGAGAGGGAGCCUGAGAAACGGCUACCACAUCCAAGGAAGGCAGCAGGCGCGCAAAUUACCCACUUCCAGAACGGAGAGGUAGUGACGAAAAAUAACGAGACAGUCCUCUUCGAGGUCUGUCAUCGGAAUGGGUACAAUUUAAAUCCUUUAACGAGGAUCUAUUGGAGGGCAAGUCUGGUGCCAGCAGCCGCGGUAAUUCCAGCUCCAAUAGCGUAUAUUAAAGUUGUUGCGGUUAAAACGCUCGUAGUUGGAUCUGCAGCCAAGGAGGAUGGUCCCCCGAAAGGGCGGUCACUGUCUCUCCUGGCUUAAAUUCCAGUCGUCUCUAGGUGUUCUUUACUGAGUGCCUAGAGUGGCUAGAACGUUUACUUUGAAAAAAUUAGAGUGCUUAAAGCAGGCGAAAUAGCCUGAAUAAAUUGCAUGGAAUAAUGGAAUAGGACCUCGAUUCUAUUUUGUUGGUUUUCAGAAUCCGAGGUAAUGAUUAAGAGGAACAGACGGGGGCAUUCGUAUUCCGGCGCUAGAGGUGAAAUUCUUGGACCGCCGGAAGACGGACGACUGCGAAAGCAUUUGCCAAGAAUGUUUUCAUUAAUCAAGAACGAAAGUAGAGU